CCCGCGCACGGCGUCAGCGUCUAGACGCAGGUGACCAGCAUCAUGUCCCACCGGGUCCCCUGCAGUCCCAGUGCACCUGCCUGCUCAUCCAGGGACCUGUCCUCACUGCCUGCUGCCUGCACUGUGUGGAAGGACAGAGGCUAAACGACGAAGCCUCGAGCUCUGGUCUCAUGGAAAUGGCAGCCUGCCCACCACCCACGCUUGCCCAGCCUUUCUUCACGCAGUGUAUUCAGGAGUCCAUGCAGCAGGAAGUGGAGCCAUCAUCACAGGGUACGAAGGGAGGACAAGUGCAGUGUCGUGAGCAUGUACAGAGGGAAGUUGACAGCGGGGAGAGGCUUUGCUGAGGAAGUGGCGUUUGGAAGAACGAGAAUGAGAUGGGGUUUUGCCGUGUUACCCAGGCUAGUCACGAACUCCUGUGCUCAAGCGAUCUGUCUGCCUCGGCCUCCAAAGUGCUGGGAUUGCAGGCAUGAGCCACCGCGCCCAGCCAGAAAGCCACUGCUUUAUAGACCACCACUUAAAUGCACCUGGCAGCUUCAUGUACGCAAGAACUUUCCUGCAGCUCCUUUAAAUUUAAGAAUCUUUUGGCAAAAUGAAGAAUACAAGCGUGUUUCUUCUUCAUAUGCUUUGUUUUAGGAACAUUAAAAAAAUAUAGUUACUACAAUCAGAAAGCAGUUAUAUUUGUAUGUUUUGUAACAAAUACUGUGGCCUGAUAGAAUGAGCUUCUGACAAAGGCAUGUGCUUUCCAAGUGGGCCAAGUUCAAAAGUUGUCCGCUGAGUUGUCUCACUGGCUCAUCCAGCCAAUCAUUCAAAUAUUUAAAGGCCCCACUAAGGGCCAUGUUACUCAUUGUACAUCUUUAAGGAUGGGUGUAACUUACUUAUCUGUUUAUUUUCAAUUUCAGAAUACUUUAUAUUGACUCCUAAAAGUAUGGUGUAGUGUAUGUUUGUUUUGGGAGUUUCAAUACAAUCCCUAAAUUUAUGUAUCUCAAAUGUACAGGGACUGAUCAAAUUAGUGCUAAUUUUCCUAAAACAGUGUCAAAAACAAGGGAAUCAAUCAUGAACACACUAAGCAUGAGCAUCGACUGUCACAAGACAUGGCUCAGUUUAUUUUUUCUUCCUUCUUACUACACCGUAGAACAGAGCUCUUUUGUUUGCUUAUGACCUGGGCAAAUAUGCUGUAUGAUAAAAAAAAAUCAUGUAUGCAUUUGAUUCUCAUCCAGAUGCCCUUAGGAUAAGAGGUUCAUUUUCAUCUUCUGUUUUCCAAAUGAAGCUUUAAAUCUAAUUAGAUCUUGAAAGAAAAUAACUGCAAUAGGGUUUCUGUAAGUAAAGGGCCCUCAUUUAAAUAAUGCUGUUAUUUGUUUAUGUGAUUUACAGUAAGUGAUGAAACUCUUCGUGGCCAGCACGCCGCUCACUUCGGGGAUCCUUUGCACAGAGCACUUUGAGUUAGUUAUAAACCAUUCUACACACAGAAGCAUUUAAUUGUUAGAACAUUUCAUAGUGUAACAGCAUUUCUCAUUGCCUAGCAUGGGCCUUCUCCAUAUCGAAGGCCCAAUAAAUAUUUGUAGAAUAAAGGAAUUCACACCCA
ensembl:lncRNA RNF32-DT RNF32 divergent transcript